UACAGAGGGGGCGAGCGUUGUUCGGAAUUACUGGGCGUAAAGGGCGCGUAGGCGGCCAACUAAGUCAGACGUGAAAUCCCUCGGCUCAACCGGGGAACUGCGUCUGAUACUGGAUGGCUUGAAUUCGGGAGAGGGAUGCGGAAUUCCAGGUGUAGCGGUGAAAUGCGUAGAUAUCUGGAGGAAUACCGGUGGCGAAGGCGGCAUCCUGGACCGGCAUUGACGCUGAUGAGCGAAAGCCAGGGGAGCAAACGGG
rnacentral:rRNA from 1 species